AGCGCAGACGGUUAUUUAAGCAGGAUGUGAAAUCCCCGAGCUCAACUUGGGAACUGCGUGCUGAACUGGGUAACUAGAGUGUGUCAGAGGGGGUAGAAUUCCACGUGUAGCAGUGAAAUGCGUAGAGAUGUGGAGGAAUACCGAUGGCGAAGGCAGCCCCCUGGGAUAACACUGACGUUCAUGCUCGAAAGCGUGGUAGCAAACA
rnacentral:rRNA from 1 species